rnacentral:rRNA from 1 species
UACGUAGGUGGCAAGCGUUGUUCGGAAUUAUUGGGCGUAAAGGGUGCGUAGGCGGUUUUGUAAGUCUUGUGUGAAAUCUUCAGGCUCAACUUGAAGACUGCACGAGAAACUGCAGGGCUUGAGUGUGGGAGAGGUGAGUGGAAUUCCUGGUGUAGCGGUGAAAUGCGUAGAUAUCAGGAGGAACACCUGUGGCGAAAGCGGCUCACUGGACCACAACUGACGCUGAUGCACGAAAGCUAGGGGAGCAAACAGG